rnacentral:rRNA from 1 species
UACGUAGGGGGCUAGCGUUGUCCGGAAUCAUUGGGCGUAAAGAGCGCGUAGGCGGCCCGGUAAGUCUGCUGUAAAAGUCAAAAGGCUUAACCUUUGAAAGUCAGUGGAUACUGCCGGGCUAGAGUCCGGAAGAGGCGAGUGGAACUCCUGGUGUAGCGGUGGAAUGCGCAGAUAUCGUAAGGAAGACCAGUGGCGAAGGCGGGUCUCUGGACAGUUCCUGACGCUGAGGCACGAAGGCCAGGGGAGCAAACGGG